rnacentral:rRNA from 2 species
CAAAGAUUAAGCCAUGCAUGUCUAAGUAUAAACAAAUUUAUACAGUGAAACUGCGAAUGGCUCAUUAAAUCAGUUAUAAUUUAUUUGAUAUUCACUUACUACUUGGAUAACCGUGGUAAUUCUAGAGCUAAUACAUGCGUACAUAACCUCGACUUCUGGAAGAGGUGCACUUAUUAGAUAAAAAGCCAACGCGGGCAACCGCUUGUAUGGUGAUUCAUAAUAAUUAAGCGAAUCGCAUGGCCUUGUGCCGGCGAUGAUGCAUUCAAAUUUCUGCCCUAUCAAGUUUCGAUGGUAGGUUAGUGGCCUACCAUGCUUUUAACGGGUAACGGGGAAUUAGGGUUCGAUUCCGGAGAGGGAGCCUGAGAAACGGCUACCACAUCCAAGGAAGGCAGCAGGCGCGCAAAUUACCCAAUCCCGACACGGGGAGGUAGUGACAAUAAAUAACAAUACAGGGCCUUUACGGGUCUUGUAAUUGGAAUGAGUACAAUUUAAAUCCCUUAACGAGGAACAAUUGGAGGGCAAGUCUGGUGCCAGCAGCCGCGGUAAUUCCAGCUCCAAUAGCGUAUAUUAAAGUUGUUGCAGUUAAAAAGCUCGUAGUUGAAUUUUGGCCUUGGGUGGUUUGGUUUGGCCUUCACUGGUCAAUGCCUUUUCCGCCUAGGUCUUACCUUCUGGGUUAGCUUGUGUCGCUUCGGUGGCGCAAGUGAACCAGAACUUUUACUUUGAAAAAAUUGGAGUGUUUAAAGCAGGCUUUCAAGCCUGAACAUAUUAGCAUGGAAUAAUGAAAUAGGACUUUGGCCUUAUUUCGUUGGUUUCUAAAGCCAAAGUAAUGAUGAAUAGGGAUAGUUGGGGACAUUAGUAUUCAAUUGUCAGAGGUGAAAUUCUUGGAUUUAUUGAAGACUAACUUCUGCGAAAGCAUUUGUCAAGGAUGUUUUCAUUAAUCAAGAACGAAAGUUAGGGGAUCGAAGACGAUCAGAUACCGUCGUAGUCUUAACCAUAAACUAUGCCGACUAAGGAUCGGAUGGUGUUAUAUUUUAUAUUGACCCAUUCGGCAUUUCAGCGAAAGCCAAGUUUUUGGGUUCCGGGGGGAGUAUGGUCGCAAGGCUGAAACUUAAAGG